CACAGGUGGUAGGGAUCAAGCACAUACAUACAUCCAUGAGCACUCUGUAUUCAAAAAAACAGAGCCAAAAAACAUUCAUCAUGUUGAUAUCAUUGCUGCUAGCACCCACCAGAGGAAGAGCAAGUGACCCUGCAAGAAGAAAAAUUACAUUCUCCUGACAAAGCCUGAAUUUAAGCCUGCUUUACACAGAAUGUGAAGCCAGAUUUUCAGAAGAGGCCAACCCAAGAACAAACUACAUUACCAGAAUGAAAAAACACCACUAUACACAGAUCUGGAAAGAGUGAAAAGUGCCUCAAACCCCUAAGGAAAAGGGAAGGACAAGGUUGACAAAACUCCUAACUGGAAAGGAGCUUUAUCCCAGGAACUGGAUACUGGAAAAAAGAGAUCAAGCUGAAAAUCAUCUCGUUCUAGUGUACCCUUAUAUUCUACAGAUAGAAAUAGAUUCCAUUUAUUAUAUUAGCUUAUUAUUAAGAUGUGUUUUUAUUGUCAUUAUUACAAGCUGUAAGCCAGUGAACAGCCAGACUGAGAAUUUUUAGUAACUCAAGUUGUCAUCAUGCUUCAAAGAGCCAAAGACAAACCUUCACAUGUACAUGGCUUCUAUCCUGACACAUGAAUGCAGGGUCACUGGCAGCCACAUUUUUAGGAAGUGCUGGGAAGUGCUAAUUGAUUGCAGCCAGCAGUCCAAGUUCUGCAAACAGAAAAAUGAGAACAAGCUGUCAUUUUAGGUUUCAAAUGUUUACACUGUUAGAAAAAUGGUUGAAGUGGCACUCUUUCUUCCAGGGUUUGUGGGUGUAUAUUUGAAUCUGUAGCUUGUAAUUGCAGUCUGUUCCCACUGUUCAUCUCUUCCCUACUAAACUGAGCUGCCACAGAAAACAAGUGAAACAAAAUGUGAGUAACGUACUGGACAUUAAAUGGGAUUUUCACCUACAACUCAGCUGUACAAACAUGGUAUAGUGCUGAUUUAUAGGUGGAAGAUUUGUGGAAAUAAAGGUAUUUUCAAAAGUGAAUUUUACAUUGUCAGCAGCAGAGUUCAUUCAAGUGAGUACUGUGAUGAAAGAGAGAAAUAUUUAAAGGGAUUUAAAAUAUUAUUGGUUACAGUACAAAAAUAAAUGUUAAAUUAAAAC
rnacentral:lncRNA from 7 species